GGUUGUUCUCCAUGAUCGAGGGGGUGGCGGCGCUGCUGCCCAGCUCGGCCAGUCUCCUGUUGGUGGCUGUCAGCUCGGCUCGCAGCGUAAACACCAUGUGACGGUGGGGUUGAGCUGACGGGAAAUCAUGUCAGUUUCCACUUGCAGGCUGGCUUGUGCCGGCUGUGCUCUUCUCUGUCCAGACUUGCACCAUGGCAGUACAAGAGUGGCCCCUUCAAUGAGCACAGAGAAUGUCCGCAGUCGCCCCAGGAGCAGCUCUGGUGUAAAAUCACCACUCGGCGUCUGAGGGAGGAAAUGGUUUAACAAACCAACGGGCCGAUAGUUUCGGCUGCUUGCUCACGGGAAGUGAAAUGAGGUAAAGCAAAAGUGCGUUGUUCUCCAGCAAGACAACGAUCCUACUGGGAGCCGUGGAACAAGGUACUGUAAAGCUGCGAGUCUCACUGAGCUGGAGGGGUCUGGCUUGCAAUGAGCCUCCAGGCAACUUUCAGGAAUAAAAAUAUCUGUGUUCA